rnacentral:rRNA from 1 species
UACGGAAUACGGAAGGCAGCAGUGGGGAAUAUUGCACAAUGGGCGCAAGCCUGAUGCAGCCAUGCCGCGUGUAUGAAGAAGGCCUUCGGGUUGUAAAGUACUUUCAGUCGUGAGGAAGGUGUUAAGGUUAAUAACCUUAGCAAUUGACGUUAGCGACAGAAGAAGCACCGGCUAACUCCGUGCCAGCAGCCGCGGUAAUACGGAGGGUGCGAGCGUUAAUCGGAAUUACUGGGCGUAAAGGGCACGCAGGCGGUUAAUUAAGUUGGAUGUGAAAUCCCCGGGCUUAACCUGGGAAUGGCAUUCAAGACUGGUUAGCUAGAGUCUUGUAGAGGGGGUAGAAUUCCAUGUGUAGCGGUGAAAUGCGUAGAGAUGUGGAGGAAUACCGGUGGCGAAGGCGGCCCCUGGGACAAAGACUGACGCUCAUGUGCGAAAGCGUGGGGAGCGAAACAGGGAUUAGGAUAACC